CUUAGCAAAGUGUCUUCUGAACACUGGCCCAGCACAUUCCUAGUUUUCAUUUCCUGUGCACCAGAAUGUGACACUUUCGAUGCUGUAUGGAAGAAGAUGGAUGCUGAACACAGAUUGUGAAAACUGGGACUGACACCACCUGUGCAUAUGCAUUCCUGAAAACACUCAGAGGACAACACCUGUCCCAAAUUGCUACCUGUUUAUUUAAAUUAGAAACAAGCUUGCUUCACAUGUCAAUCUGAGCUCCCUCUCCUACCUUUCCUCAUCCAACACCCACCAACCCUCCAUCUCCCACCCAAUUCCCACUCUGCUCCCAGGGAGGGUGAGGCCCUCCAUGGAAGAUCUCCAAAGUCUUUCCUAUCGUCGGGACAGGGCCUAGGCCCUCCCCCAUGUGUCCAGACUGACAGAGCAUCCCUCCAUGUGGAAUGGGUUCUCAAAGUUCAUUCGUAUGCAAGGGAUAAAUACGGAGAUCUACAAACUGCUGCCUUUUAAUCUCUCUUCGUGUUGGAUCAAAUGGACCCCAGACAAUCAGACCUGAGUCGAGUGUUCUUGUUUCAUCAGUCUGCUGCUUUAUCAUGUGGCCCAGAAAAAAAGGACCGCCUGAUCAUCUACUGAAAAAUCUAAUAAACAUGAGUCAUACUAAA